GAUGAACGCUGGCGGCGUGCCUAAUACAUGCAAGUCGAGCGAACAGACGAGGAGCUUGCUCCUCUGACGUUAGCGGCGGACGGGUGAGUAACACGUGGAUAACCUACCUAUAAGACUGGGAUAACUUCGGGAAACCGGAGCUAAUACCGGAUAAUAUAUUGAACCGCAUGGUUCAAUAGUGAAAGACGGUUUUGCUGUCACUUAUAGAUGGAUCCGCGCCGCAUUAGCUAGUUGGUAAGGUAACGGCUUACCAAGGCGACGAUGCGUAGCCGACCUGAGAGGGUGAUCGGCCACACUGGAACUGAGACACGGUCCAGACUCCUACGGGAGGCAGCAGUAGGGAAUCUUCCGCAAUGGGCGAAAGCUUGACGGAGCAACGCCGCGUGAGUGAUGAAGGUCUUCGGAUCGUAAAACUCUGUUAUUAGGGAAGAACAAAUGUGUAAGUAACUAUGCACGUCUUGACGGUACUUAAUCAGAAAGCCACGGCUAACUACGUG
rnacentral:rRNA from 1 species